rnacentral:rRNA from 1 species
GACGAACGCUGGCGGCGUGCUUAACACAUGCAAGUCGAACGGAAAGGCCCUGCUUUUGUGGGGUGCUCGAGUGGCGAACGGGUGAGUAACACGUGAGUAACCUGCCCUUGACUUUGGGAUAACUUCAGGAAACUGGGGCUAAUACCGGAUAGGAGCUCCUGCUGCAUGGUGGGGGUUGGAAAGUUUCGGCGGUUGGGGAUGGACGCGCGGCUUAUCAGCUUGUUGGUGGGGUAGUGGCUUACCAAGGCUUUGACGGGUAGCCGGCAUGAGAGGGUGGACGGCCACAUUGGGACUGCGAUACGGCCCAGACUCCUACGGGAGGCAGCGGUGGGGAAUAUUGCACAAUGGGCGGGAGCCUGAUGCAGCAACGCCGCGUGCGGGAUGACGGCCUUCGGGUUGUAAACCGCUUUCGCCUGUGACGAAGCGUGAGUGACGGUAAUGGGUAAAGAAGCACCGGCUAACUACGUG